GCACUGCUGAUGAGUUCCACAAUAGGACGAAACAGCUGUCCAGUGC
rfam:Schistosoma curassoni strain Dakar, Senegal genome assembly, scaffold: SCTD_scaffold0000102